GAUGAACGCUGGCGGCGUGCUUAACACAUGCAAGUCGAGCGGGCAAUUUAUCUAGCACUGAUUACUUCAAAUGGAAAUCAUAAGUGUAAUCAUGAAUUUCUACCUUUAAUAAAGAAAAAGAAAUUCAUGUACGCAAAUAGUGAUAACACAUUUUAGUGGAGUGAUGAGUGCUGGAUAAAUUGCUAGCGGCGGACGGGUGCGUAACACGUGGGUAACCUGCCCCUAUCACUGGGAUAACACACUGAAAAGUGUGCUAAUACCAGAUAACAUAAGCUUUUGGCAUCAUUAGCUUAUCAAAGAAUUUCGGAUAGGGAUGGGCCCGCGUCUGAUUAGCUAGUUGGUGAGGUAACGGCUCACCAAGGCAACGAUCAGUAGCCGACCUGAGAGGGUGAUCGGCCACACUGGAACUGAGACACGGUCCAGACUCCUACGGGAGGCAGCAGUGGGGAAUAUUGCACAAU
rnacentral:rRNA from 1 species